AGAACCACUUAGCUUGCUCUUCCAUAUAUUUUAUGGAUAUUCAGAAAGGACGUUUAAGUCCCAGAAUCAAUCGCUGGAUUUUCAUUUUUCUUGUAAAACCAAUACUUGUAUACGGUAUACCAGAAAGGUCAUCGGUGCCGACUCUUCACUUAAGGGAAUAGAAACAGUAGAGUUGAUAACCUUAAGAGCACUCAAGAAUCCUAAAUAAUUAUAGUUAUAUUGUAUCUCCCUUCCAAGCAGCACAGCACGAAGCGAAUGGGCAAACAAAUAUGAAACUAAAGCUUGUUAUAUUGCGGCGGACACGGAUAGCUAAAAACUUGAUGGUAGAUUAGGAGAAGGUGAUUUAUCACACAGCCCUUCAUUGUAACUCUCGUUCAAGCUUGUCAACACAUUGCAUACCCAGAAAGAGAAAUCUUUUUCUUCAGCGGUAGUAAAGCAGCAAUAAAAGCUCAAGCGAUCACAACAAACUCAGCAGUUUAUCCCUCGUUUGGGUUCCUAGUGACAGAUACAUAAAGUAGAUCGAAAAGGCUGACGAUCAUUCUAGACCGCGUUCAGGUGGUAAACAAAAACCUAAAUCCGACUCAACUACAAUAGAAGCAAACUAGACCGAAAACGAGCGCAGAAGGGUGAAUGGGCUUAUACGAUGUGGAAAAGGAGGACAUUUCAAAGAUAUAUUGUAUUUACCAGGAGUAGUAAACCCGUUAUAUU